rnacentral:rRNA from 1 species
GAAUAUUGGACAAUGGGCGCAAGCCUGAUCCAGCCAUGCCGCGUGUGUGAAGAAGGCCUUCGGGUUGUAAAGCACUUUAAGUUGGGAGGAAGGUUUCUUGACUAAUACCCAAGAGAAUUGACGUUACCAACAGAAUAAGCACCUGCUAACUUCGUGCCAGCAGCCGCGGUAAUACGAAGGGUGCAAGCGUUAAUCGGAAUUACUGGGCGUAAAGCGCGCGUAGGUGGUUCAGUAAGUUGGAUGUGAAAUCCCCGGGCUCAACCUGGGAACUGCAUCCAAAACUGCUGAGCUAGAGUACGGUAGAGGGUGGUGGAAUUUCCUGUGUAGCGGUGAAAUGCGUAGAUAUAGGAAGGAACACCAGUGGCGAAGGCGACCACCUGGACUGAUACUGACACUGAGGUGCGAAAGCGUGGGGAGCAAACAGG